rnacentral:piRNA from 1 species
UGAAGCCUCACAAAUUUACAUAGCUGUAACA